GAUGAACGCUAGCGGCAGGCCUAAUACAUGCAAGUCGAACGGUAACAUGAGUAGCAAUACUUGAUGACGAGUGGCGCACGGGUGCGUAACGCGUAUGCAAUCUACCUUUAACUGGUGAAUAGCCCGAAGAAAUUCGGAUUAAUACACCAUAGUAUAAUUGAGUGGCAUCACUUAAUUAUUAAAACUCCGGUGGUUAAAGAUGAGCAUGCGUGACAUUAGCUAGUUGGUGAGGUAAUGGCUCACCAAGGCUACGAUGUCUAGGGGAUCU
rnacentral:rRNA from 1 species